rnacentral:rRNA from 1 species
GUCCGCUUUGAGAUGUACCUGUUGUGUAUUUGGUGGUUGGGGAGGUAAAGGCUCACCAAGGCGACGAUACAUAGCCGACCUGAGAGGGGGAUCGGCCACACUGGGACUGAGACACGGCCCAGACUCCGACGGGAGGCAGCAGUAGGGAAGCUUCGGCAAUGGGGGCAACCCUGACCGGGCAACGCCGCGUGAGUGAAGAAGGUUUUCGGAUCGUAAAGCGCUGUUGUUAGAGAAGAAUGAUGGUGGGAGUGGAAAAUCCACCAAGGGACGGUAACUAACCAGAAAGGGACGGCUAACUACGUGCCAGCAGCCGCGGUAAUACGUAGGUCCCGAGCGUUGUCCGGAGUUAUUGGGCGUAAAGCGAGCGCAGGCGGUUUUUUAAGUCUGAAGGCUGUCCACUAUACACAUGUGUCGCCUGCGACGGCGCUCUCAGUUGUAAAAAUGGCGGGUGGCGGCAAAAUAUACAAA